rnacentral:lncRNA from 1 species
AGUUAGUGCUGAUUUUCAUUUGCAUACAUUUUCAUAUAUUUUGGUGAAAAUAAUAGACGAGAGAGAACCGGGCUUAGAGGAGUCAGUGUAAAGAGAAGGCUAAGGAUAACUCGGCUCUGGAGAGUAGAGAAUAUGCCUUCUCUUCUGCCCCUCCAGGAACCUUACUUUUUUUUUUUUAAACAAAAAACAAAAACAAAAAACAAAAACCAAAAACCAAAAACCAACCACCACCUUUUAUUUAAAAGUCUAACCUUGGGAAUUUGCUGGGGAGAAGGAACUCAGUGAAUAUUGCCCUGGGUCCUGGUAAUUCCACCUACUGAAGACAACUGCCCCUUCUGCUCAUAUUUCCUGAGUCAACAUGGCCGUUCCUAACUUUGAAGAGACUUUAGACAUUCUUUGUUACAAUGAACCUAGAAGAAAGAAGAGAAAUAUUACAGCGACUGUGCCCGGGACUGUAAGGCGGAUAAGACCCAGCAGAAUAACUGCCAUGGAAGGAUGCUCCUCCUGCCAAUUGGCACUUAUCAAUGACAUCGAGGGAGAGGGACAGAGUGCCUAGGUAUGAGCCUUCAUCAAGUGGUAUGAAGGCCCUACCCCAACAGAAAGUGCUGAUGUGAUGAAAUGGUGCUUUGGACAAGACUUUUCCUCCAAGUUGGUCCUAUCCAGGGGUUGGCAAACAGGGUCCCUGGACAUCAUCCAUGUGGCAUACUCUUAUGAAUAAAGUUCUAUAGGACACAGAC